rnacentral:lncRNA from 1 species
CCGCAAGCAACGUGGCCCACAACGCAGAGAUGCCUCUGGCAAUCUCUCCGGAAAAACGAAGAUUCCUUACCUGGGAUAGGGGACAACCUCGUAAUCUGGUGACAUCAUGAUCCUGCUCUGGAAGCCCUGGCUCUUCGGAGGGCAGCUGCCUGAUGUUAAACCCAUGGCCUACCCAGCAGUGACAGCCUGACAUUCUCAUCGCUCCAUCCUGAACACUGCUGACAAAUAAACCCACUCUCAGAAAAGGCAAUUCUUCCCUCGCAGUUCUCCAUACCCAGUCUCGUCUCAUCUGGAAAGCGUAAUUGGCAACAGCCGAAAGGAUAAAUAUUUAAAAAUAAAUCAGGGAGCGCUAACCCCUUCCCUACUCCUCCCCUUACCCACUCUCCAAGCCAGAGGCCUGCCCCCUAACGCUGAGCUGGCUGGUAAAUUACAAUGAUUCUACCGAGCCAAACCUGCUUGUCUCUCUCUUUCUCUACACAUACACACUUACUAAUGCUGUAUCCUUCCACUUUUGCAAAGGUAAAUAUGAUCUCUAAGAUACAGUGGAUGUCAGCAUUCUGACUUCCAGCGUAACCUGGGCUCUCUUUUCACAGUACAGCGGGUUUAGACAGAUUUGUGCACCCUUCCGGGUUCUUCUAUUUUUAUUAAAUUAUACGUAUACAUUGAUUUUUAAAACUAGUGCUUAAAUAACCCGGAGGCUUUAACAAAGAAAAAUCCAGAAGAGGGCAAGAAACAAAAACAAACGUUCCUGAAAUAAACAAGGAACCAUU